rnacentral:rRNA from 1 species
GACGAACGCUGGCGGCGUGCUUAACACAUGCAAGUCGUACGGUCAGGCCCUUUCGUUGCUACACUAGUGUUGAACGCGUAAGUAACACUUGAAUAACCUUCCCACACCUUUGGGAUAACGCUAACUAACUGGUACUAAUACUAGUUAUGGGCUCCUUCUUCAUGCGCAUGGUUGUAAAGCUCCGGCGGUUUUUGCUGUACUGGCUGCCUAUCUGCUUGUUGGUGUGGUUGUUGGGUACCGAGGCGGCUUCGGGUAGCCGGCCUGAGAGGGUGACCGGCCACACUGGGACUGAGAGACGGCACAGACACCUAAGGGAGGCAGCAGUGGGGAAUACUGCACAAUGGGCGCAAGCCUGAUGCAGAAACGCUGCGUGUGGGAUGACGGCCUUAGGGUUGUAAACCGAUUUCAGCAGGGACGAAGCUUUUUGUGACGGUACCUGAAGAAGAAGCAACGGCUAACUACGUG